rnacentral:tRNA from 2 species
GCCGAAGUGGUGGAACUGGUAGACACGCACGUUUGAGGGGCGUGUGGAGAAAUCCAUGCGGGUUCGAGUCCCGCCUUCGGCACCA